ACAUACACCAGGCGGUUUCCCUAGGAUCGAUUUCUAAGCCUAUAUAAGCCGACAGCUAUACCCGGAACGAAACGGGUAUUUUAUCAUUAAUAUAUGGACCCUAAUCAGAUUUUCUCCUAAAAAUAAAAGAUCCCAUUCCUUGGAUGUGAACAGGUUCUUGUAUCUGAUCUGCUUUGAAGUUCACUAACGCUAGGUUAUAGUCGGGGUUUGGAGUGAAUGCGAGCGUGCAUGCUGACAAAGCGACCUCUCGCCAGAUCAUGUCGGAAGAACCAGGGACAAAAUUGUGUUCUAAACCACGUGGUUCAAAGCGAAAUGACUGGAACUUCGUGUCCUCAAAUACGGACCAAUCAAAGCACAGCGGAGAUAGACAACUCACCUAUUCCGACCAAUUGAACGGAAGAAAUUUAGAAAACAACAACCAAUCGGAACGAAAGAAAGUAACGGAACUGGUAAAACACGUUGAACUUUUGUGAAGUGAUAAAAAAUAAAAUACCCAGAAUUUCAAAAAACAAAACAAAACAAAACGAACAUUUAUGGGAGUUGAAUUAAUCAACUCUCCUAUGCAGUCACUCUGGCAAACCGAAAGUGAAACAGUGUUUGGACCUAAGCACAAAUCAUCACCGCUGACAAGUCUUAGUUCUUGAAUAUAAUAGAAAAAAUUCGAUGUACUGUAUGCUGAAGCAUUGUUUUUUCAAGGAAACUUAUCUAUAAACACUUUGAAAAUAGUGAGAUUUUAUAUAAUAUGAACAAUUUAGAUAUUUAUGUAGUCUCAUGUAUUCCUACGCCAGAGUUUAAUAUAGUCUCGUUCAACCAAAAGCUCGGCUGUCUCCGUAAAUGCUUGUCGGAGAUUAACGGAGACAGCUGAGCGUCUGGUUGAACGAGACUGGAGUUCAAUAUCAAUAGUGCUUGGAUUCAUACAAUUUUUAGAAUUGUUUCGAUUACUAAUACAUAGUUUGAAAUCUAUCUUUAAAUAUUACACAGCAGGAUUCAUAUGGGGUUUCUCUAAAUUCUUGUCUGAAAAGUCUAAUGAAAAUUCGUAUUAUAAAAAAGUGCGUAAUUUAAAUACAGACUAGAAACUAAUUGCCACGCAAGAUAAGUUGAUUUUAAAAUAAAUGAUAAUCGAUAAAAUCAACUCCCGUCAGUACUUAAGUACUUUGAUCUAUAAUGUAUUGGGAUGCGGGAUUUGCAUCUCUUUUGUACUCUUUUCUCGGGUGAAUCAACAACCAAUCACAACGAAGGUUACGGAACUGGUAAAACACCUUCAGCGAACUGAUUAAAAAAAAACCCGUUAGUUUAAAAUAAAAUUUUAAAUAUUUUAUACAUCACCUGGAUUCCUGCAAUUUUAGUUUGCGCGAAAUUUCAAUGGCAUUUGAAACAACGUUAGCACAUUGCCAACAUUGCAUUUUGUGCCCUGGCAAUGUCUUAUACUUUUAACAUAAUUAUUCAUUACUGAAUACCGAACCGUGUACAUCGCUUUUCAAAAGUUUGACUUUUUUAAGUAACUAAAGAUUCUUUUGUAAUCUCACUUUUUAUAUCCCCAAAAGGCUAUAUUCAGUAAGUAUGUGUUUGUUAAUUUAUUGACAAAUUGUAUUCUCUAUACUGUCUAAUUCAAAUGAUAUAACAUUAACAAAAAUGAAAAUCCAGAUGGUCGUCGCUUUGGACACCAGUGAACUUAA